CCAAUAGCGUAUAUUAAAGUUGUUGCAGUUAAAAAGCUCGUAGUUGAAUUUCGGGAUCAGUACGCUGGUCGUGCCUUAGGUAUGAACUGGUGUCACUGGUUCCUCCCUUCUGAAGAACCGUCAUGCCAUUAAUUUGGUGUGGCGGGGAAUCAGGACUGUUACUUUGAAAAAAUUAGAGUGUUUAAAGCAGGCUCGCGCUUGAAUACAUUAGCAUGGAAUA
rnacentral:rRNA from 1 species